UUACCAAACUUUUUACCACCUAUUUGCGUCAAUUUGACUCACUUUGAUAACAAAGUAAAGAUGCUAUAAUUUACAUGAAUGUGUAAAAUACAUAAUUAGUUAACCGAUGACUUACGUUGUCGAAUAGUUGAAAACAUAUAUAUAUUAUUUUGGAAACAGACUAAAACAUAUAAAUAUAUAUAUAUAUUUUUUCAAAGAUUACUAGCUUUUCAUUGAUUGAGGUUGUGAUUGCUUCAAAUGUUUGCAAUCUCACUCGCCAUACUCACUUGGGUUUAUCAUGCAUACAUUACCGAUCUACCUUUGAUGGUGCUAUCUUCUCGCUCACUCACGGACAAUCAGAGCUGAAUUAGCUUAGAAUAACAAUGUUGCCGAAUAAAUCGAUUACAGUUACCGUAUGAACAUUACAUCAAGUGCGGCAACAAAGGAGACGGAAAGUUUAAACUUAGUGAAUUGAUGUCGAUGAUGUCAGUCAAUAUAGUUACACAUUUCAGCGUAUUAACAAGAAUUUAUCAGUCCGCUUGCAUUUUCAACAGCUUGCAAUAUUGCACCUAAUAAAUUCUCUGUAACUCUCAAAAAUACUAGCACUUUAAGUAUAAACGUUGUUAAAGUUUAAAUUUUGUUUUAUUUUACACUGAAGUAAAUAUUUAUCCUACUGAAUAUGCAGCUCAAAGCGAUAAAACAGUACAGCUUUUACGUCCGAUGUGAUUCAUAAGUUAGCAAUGUAAAAAGGGCCGAUUUAGCAGUCGCCUUGCAUAAGCAUGUUUGCAUCAGUAUCUGCAAAGCAGUAUACAUGUCGAUUUAGAUCAGCAAAAAUCAACAAAGUAAAGUAAUAGUAAGCAUUUUAUCAAAUAUGUUUGCUUGAUGAAAUAACACACUUUGACAUUGCUAUGGACGCUAGUAAUAUAUAUCCUCAAUUAUAAAGCGACAAUCAAUAAACGAUUUCUGUCCCUUCUGUUAAAUUCUCGUGUAUGUUUUGAAAAGUUAUUAAGUAAAAGUCCAUAAAUAUUUGUGCCCACAAUAAAAUCUCAAAACAUCAAUAUUCACGCCUAAAUUUCAUAAAUUUGAAAUUUAAAAAGUAAAAACACCUCCAAAAAAAAAGCAACAUAGACGAGAGACUGCGCAAAGUAAAAUUUGGCGACUAAACCGAAAGCCUCGAUAUCAUCUAUAUUUAAUGACUACUUAAGUUGAGAAUAGUAUUCGAUUUUUUACACUUUUAAAGGAGGACGAAAUGUGACAUUAUGUUCAUUUUUCUUGUUUGUUAAACUCCAUAACCACCACCAUGCUCUUUUGUUUUAAAAUAACAUUGACAAAAAUCAUUUUCUAACGCAUAUUUGGAAAUCAUAAACACCAAUCUAUAAUUGCUUUAGUUUUUGAGAAGCAUAACUAAAUCAUCCUCUCAAAUACAAGGAUACUAUUUUGGACAGAAUGGAUGGAUAUUGACAGUUCAAAUCGUUGCGAUACUUUUUAUUCUUAUAAUAUGGAAUUACAAAUACCGUGAUUAGCCUUACUCCGCAUUAGGGUACUGAAAACAUCUAAACCCAUCCUACUCUAUCUUGCGGUGACUGCUUAUCUUUUGCAACCCACAUAUCGGUUUUCAUUGUGUAUCAUCUUCCUGGAUAUCCUUUGUAAUAGUUUAAUCGUAGUAGAUAAACAAGCAAUGAGUAAGAAAAAAAAUGUAGUACGACGAUGAUGUGUUUUCUCAAGAUGAUAACGGAUCUAGCUUCGCCAUCAAUAAGUAUGAGACAAAGGAGUCCAUCUUUGAUGAAACAUCCAUUUGCCUGUUGUACAUUUUUGCAGGACAACCAGCCUGAGCACAAGAGACAUGGUGUACUAGACUUUGUGCGGAAUGUCUACUUCAAAACUCGCAUCUUUAUAUCUGAUAUAUAGAGAUAUAGAGAUAUAGAGAGAGGCUGAUGAUUUAUAAACACAAACGAUAAGACUUGUAACAUGAAGUUUAUCGAAAAAGUCAAUCUUUAAAUUCCUUUCUGAACCUCUCUGUUAUGUCAGUGCUUCGGUACCAUGCUUUUAGUGCGGUCAUUUAAAGGCAUAGCGAUGAUAGUUCUAAAGUUACUGUAUUGAUCAAUUGGAAGAACAUCCAAAUAAAAAAAAGUAUGCAAAAUGCUAGUAUUAUCAGUAACUGCAAAUAAAAAAAAGAUAACAAAAAUUUACAGGAUCAUCGAGAAGAGUAGAUACUGAUAAUAUUGAGAUCCACAGCACUCAACAAC